rnacentral:lncRNA from 1 species
GUGGGGAUGGAGGGAUAAUAUGGGGGCAGAGGGGGAGAUUUGCGGUCAAAGGGACAAAUUUGGGGACAAAUUUGGGGUCAGGGGUGGGGAUGGAGGGAUAAUAUGGGGGCAGAGGGGGAGAUUUGGGGUCAGGGGGACAAAUUUGGGGUCAGGGAUGGGGAUGGAGGGAUAAUAUGGGGGCAGAGGGGGAGAUUUGGGGUCAGGGGUGGGGAUGGAGGGAUAAUAUGGGGGCAGAGGGGGAGAUUUGGGGUCAGGGGUGGGGAUGGAGGGAUAAUAUGGGGGCAGAGGGGGAGAUUUGGGGUCAAAGGGACAAAUUUGGGGACAAAUUUGGGGUCAGGGGUGGUGAUGGAGGGACAGUAUGGGGGCAGAGAGGGAAAUUUGGGGUCAAAGGGACAAAUUUGGGGUCAGGGAUAGAGACUGAGGGACAAUAUGGGGUCAGGGAUGGGGAUGGAGGGACAAUAUGGGGUCAGAGGGGGAAAUAUGGGGUCAAAGGGACAAAUUUGGAGUCAGGGUGGGGACAAAAUGGGGACAGAGGGACAAAUUUGGGGUCAGAGGUGGGGAUGGGGGGAUAAUAUGGGGGCAGAGGGGGAAAUUUGGGGUCAGGAGUGGGGACGGGGGGAUAAUAUGGGGUCAGAGAUGGGGAUGGAGGGGCAAAAUUGGGGCCAAAGGGGCAAAUUUGGGGUGAGGGGUGGGGAAAGAGGGAGAAAUUUGGGGUCAAAGGGGCAAAUGUGGGGUCAGGGAUGGGGACAAAGUUGGGGACAGAUAUGGGGUCAGGAAUGGGGUCAGGAAUGGGGUCAGGAGGACUCACGGUCCCGCAGCGGUGGUGGCACUGCGGGCUGCGGUGCCUUUAUGGGGUGGGGGUGGGGACAAAGGGGUGGGGACAAAAGGGGGGACGACAGGGGGGGGGGAUGACUGUGGGGUCUGUGGGGUGGCCAUGGGGUCUAUGGGGCGACAAUGGCCUCCAUGGGGUGACAAUGGGUUCAAUGGGGUGAUAAUAGGUUCUAUGGGGUGAUAAUGGGCUCUAUGGGGUGAUAAUGGGCUCUAUGGGGUAACAAUAGGUUCUAUAGGGCAACAAUGGGCUCUAUGGGGUAACAAUAGGUUCUAUGGGGUGAUAAUGGGCUCUGUGGGGUAACAAUGGGCUCUAUGGGGUGGCAGAGGGGUCUAUGGGGUGAUGAUGGGCUCUAUGGGGUGACGAUGGGCUCUACGGAGUAACAAUGGGCUCUAUGGGGCAAUCAUAGGUUCUAUGGGGUGAUAAUGGGCUCUAUGGGGCGACAAUGGGCUCUAUGGGGUAACAAUGGGUUCUAUGGGGUAACAAUGGGUUCUAUGGGGUAACAAUGGGUUCUAUGGGGUGAUAAUAAGUUCUAUGGGGUGAUAAAGGGCUCUAUGGGGUGAUAAUGGGCUCUAUGGGGUGACAAUGGGCUCUAUGGGGUAACAAUGGGUUCUAUGCGGUGAUAAUAAGUUCUAUGGGGUAACAAUGGGCUCUAUGGGGUAAUAAUGGGCUCUAUGGGGUGACAGUGGGCUUUAUGGGGUGACGAUGGGCUCUAUGGGGUAACAAUGGGUUCUACGGGGUGAUAAUAGGUUCUAUUGGGUAAUAAUGGGCUCUAUGGAGCAACAAUGGGCUCUAUGGGGUAACAAUGGGCUCUAUGGGGUGGCAGAGGGGUCUAUGAGUUAACAAUGGGCUCUAUGGGGUGACAGUGGGCUCUAUGGGGUGAUGAUGGGCUCUAUGGGGUAACAAUAGGUUCUUUGGGGUGAUAAAGGGCUCUAUGGGGUGAUAAUAGGUUCUAUGAGGUGAUAAUGGGCUCUAUGGAGUAACAAUGGGUUCUAUGGGAUAACAAUGGCCUCUAUGGGGUAACAAUGGGCUCUAUGGGGUGCUAAUAGGUUCUAUGGGGCGCUGAUAGGUUCUAUGGGGCGGCGAUGCACUCCGUGUGCCGACAAUGCCCUCCAUGGGGUCCCCCUUCCAUCCCCCCCCCCCAUCCCAUCCCAUCCCCUUCCUGUAGGGCCGCCCCUCCCUUCCUCCCCCCCCCCCCCCCCGACGUCCCCUUCCUGUUGACGCCGCUCUGACGGUGACAGCAAAGGGACAAUGGGGACAAUGAUGGGACCCCACAGCCGCCACCACCCCCCACAUGAUGAUGUCCCCCCCCCCAUAUUGUGUGUCCCCCCAUAUUAUGUCCCCCC